GACGAACGCUGGCGGCGUGCCUAAUACAUGCAAGUCGAGCUAAUCUUUUGGGAGCUUGCUCCCGAAAGAUUAGCGGCGGACGGGUGAGUAACACGUGGGCAACCUGCCUAUAAGACUGGGAUAACUUCGGGAAACCGGAGCUAAUACCGGAUACGUUCUUUUCUCGCAUGAGAGAAGAUGGAAAGACGGUCUCGGCUGUCACUUAUAGAUGGGCCCGCGGCGCAUUAGCUAGUUGGUGGGGUAAUGGCUCACCAAGGCGACGAUGCGUAGCCGAACUGAGAGGGUGAUCGGCCACACUGGGACUGAGACACGGCCCAGACUCCUACGGGAGGCAGCAGUAGGGAAUCUUCCGCAAUGGACGAAAGUCUGACGGAGCAACGCCGCGUGAACGAAGAAGGCCUUCGGGUCGUAAAGUUCUGUUGUUAGGGAAGAACAAGUACCAGAGUAACUGCUGGUACCUUGACGGUACCUAACCAGAAAGCCACGGCUAACUACGUGCCAGCCGCCGCCGUAAUAC
rnacentral:rRNA from 1 species